rnacentral:rRNA from 1 species
CGUACGCACUGGCCCACUGAUUGAUGGUGCUUGCACCUGAUUGACGAUGGAUCACCAGUGAGUGGCGGACGGGUGAGUAACACGUAGGUAACCUGCCCCAGAGCGGGGGAUAACAUUUGGAAACAGAUGCUAAUACCGCAUAACAACAAAAGCCACAUGGCUUUUGUUUGAAAGAUGGCUUUGGCUAUCACUCUGGGAUGGACCUGCGGUGCAUUAGCUAGUUGGUAAGGUAACGGCUUACCAAGGCGAUGAUGCAUAGCCGAGUUGAGAGACUGAUCGGCCACAAUGGAACUGAGACACGGUCCAUACUCCUACGGGAGGCAGCAGUAGGGAAUCUUCCACAAUGGGCGCAAGCCUGAUGGAGCAACACCGCGUGAGUGAAGAAGGGUUUCGGCUCGUAAAGCUCUGUUGUUGGAGAAGAACGUGCGUGAGAGUAACUGUUCACGCAGUGACGGUAUCCAACCAGAAAGUCACGGCUAACUACGUGCCAGCAGCCGCGGUAAUACGUGGGUGGCAAGCGUUAUCCGGAUUUAUUGGGCGUAAAGCGAGCGCAGGCGGUUGCUUAGGUCUGAUGUGAAAGCCUUCGGCUUAACCGAAGAAGUGCAUCGGAAACCGGGCGACUUGAGUGCAGAAGAGGACAGUGGAACUCCAUGUGUAGCGGUGGAAUGCGUAGAUAUAUGGAAGAACACCAGUGGCGAAGGCGGCUGUCUGGUCUGCAACUGACGCUGAGGCUCGAAAGCAUGGGUAGUGAACAGGAUUAGAUACCCUGGUAGUCCAUGCUGUAAA